rnacentral:rRNA from 1 species
AACAGGAUUAGAUACCCUGGUAGUCCACGCCGUAAACGAUGUCGACUUGGAGGUUGUGCCCUUGAGGCGUGGCUUCCGGAGCUAACGCGUUAAGUCGACCGCCUGGGGAGUACGGCCGCAAGGUUAAAACUCAAAUGAAUUGACGGGGGCCCGCACAAGCGGUGGAGCAUGUGGUUUAAUUCGAUGCAACGCGAAGAACCUUACCUGGUCUUGACAUCCACGGAAGUUUUCAGAGAUGAGAAUGCGCCUUCGGGAACCGUGAGACAGGUGCUGCAUGGCUGUCGUCAGCUCGUGUUGUGAAAUGUUGGGUUAAGUCCCGCAACGAGCGCAACCCUUAUCCUUUGUUGCCAGCGGUCCGGCCGGGAACUCAAAGGAGACUGCCAGUGAUAAACUGGUGGAAGGUGGGGAUGACGUCAAGUCAUCAUGGCCCUUACGACCAGGGCUACACACGUGCUACAAUGGCGCAUACAAAGAGAAGCGACCUCGCGAGAGCAAGCGGACCUCAUAAAGUGCGUCGUAGUCCGGAUUGGAGUCUGCAACUCGACUCCAUGAAGUCGGAAUCGCUAGUAAUCGUGGAUCAGAAUGCCACGGUGAAUACGUUCCCGGGCCUUGUACACACCGCCCGUCACACCAUGGGAGUGGGUUGCAAAAGAAGUAGGUAGCUUAACCUUCGGGAGGGCGCUUACCACUUUGUGAUUCAUGACUGGGGUGAAGUCGUAACAAGGUAACC